AGGACCAAAGUUUGUAUGGCUAACAGGCGCUGAACCUUAUUUCACUGGAGAACAAUACCAGUAGGGCUCGAGAAGGGCUGACCGUUACAUUUCCUAUAAUGGAGGGGAACAUUUAGGCCUAUUAUGUGGUCUGGUUAAAUACGCAAAUUUAUUGAAAUAUCUGUUAAAAUUCACGUUUAAGUCACUAACUAUUGAUACCAAAAUAAAUUUCAGUUUUUCUUUUGUGUUAGCAAUAAUUUCAUGUUGCAUCUUUUAAACGAGAUUCUGGGUAUUGGUGGUCACAAAAUGACUAAUAUCGCAACAGCGCCACCUAGUGACUGUCAUUUUUAUAAACGUUUGCCGUAAUAUGUUCAACAAUUACAAACGGCGAUCAUUUAGCAGAACUUUUUAUUCUUGCCAUACCUUUGUAGCUACAAUUCUUUGCAUGUAUAUGUUUGUAUGUAUUUAACAAUGACAUUACCAGGAGGGGCAUGAUUAGGGAGAAUGUCCAGCCAGAUCGAAACUUGAGUGGUGUUUUGUUAUUAGAUGUGUGUAAGCCAUGGAUUGUUCAAAACAAACACCAUUUUCGAACACAAGGAUGUUCAUAAGUGUACCUGCUACCAGUGCAUCCCAGGCCAAAGGUCAAUGAUGGAUUUUAUAGUUGUGUCAUCUGACCUGAGGUCAUGUGUUUUUGGACCCUUAAAUGAAGAGUGGGACGGAGCUAUAAACCAAUCCCCAUUUGCUGUGGCGUCGGAUUCAGUACAUGGGAAGGAUGUCAGACGAACCAAAACCACCCAGAUGAGCAGUCACCGUUUUCUGGUAAUGUCUGGCAAAAACUAUAGUGUACGCCUCCGCAAAAACUUAUCCGGAGUGCCAAGUGCGGUCAAGGACACAAUCUGAACAAACCAUGUUCAAGAUCUCAGUUGUGGAAGUGGCUGCAAAGAGCUGUGGUCAGAAAGCAGUCUGUGAGGAUAGCGACCGUAAUCCUUGGACCUGCUGGUAGAUAUCGGUGGUGAAGAAACCAAUGUAUGGGGUCUCCUGAGAUAGGGUCACCACCCCAUGUCAGGGGGGACUAUUUAAGCUAGGGCAGGAUUUGUAAACUACCAGUUCAAUUAAAACGACCAGGGAGUAUUCCACAAAGCAGAAUUUCCCAGUUAGCUACAUAACCUAAGUCAAUUGUGAAAACUGUCCAAUAGGAAGAGCGCUUAGUGACAUUCCUGUUGGUCAGUCCUUACAUUUGGCAUAAAUUGCCUGGCUAAUGAAGAAGUCCUGCUUUGUGCAACAAUCCCCUGGAUUUCACUUAAGCACUGAGUUCUUACUGUGUGCUGAUUGGUCAGUCUCCUGUAAUCAUGCAUCUGUCACUAAUGUAAAUGUGAAACAGAUGGAUGAGUCUUUCAAUCAAGGAAACAAACCAUUCAAAACACAAGAAGAACUGAAGUAUUUAGCCAAGCUGAGGAGCUUUUCAGUUUUAAAGGAGUUUGUAAACCUGAAGUAGCUCAGCGUGUCCUUUCUGGCAUGGAUUAUGUGGUAACCCUAUCCUGAGGCAACUGAAAGUCUGUAGCCAAGGCAGUCAUGUAAGUGAAGGUUUAUGCAUGGGAGGAGAUUGAAGCGGCCAUGGAGACAGACAAUGAUUAUUCUUGCUCAGGCUGCCUUCAGCCAGGGAGGAGAAGUGCUGACCAGCUCUGGGAACAGUGACCAGCAGUGAACGGAACACUUUGAGGAGCUCCAACCUGGUGGAUAUGCCUUCUCACCAGGAGGCAGUGCUGGAACCUUCUGAUGAACUAGAGUCUAUCACUGCAGCUGAAGUCAAUAUGGUGGUCAGUGACCUGCAUGGUGGAAAGGAUGCAGAAGUAAAUUAAAUCCAUCCAGAGAACUUGAAUGUUGUUGAGGUGACAGAGAUGAUGUGCCUCUUCAAUAUGGGAUGAAAAGUAGCCCCAGCCUGGCAAAUGAGAUGGUGGUCCAUGUUUAUAAAGGGGAUACCAGAGGGUCUGUCCCAACUACAGGGGAAUCACCCUCCCAGUUUCCCUGGGAAAAUGACCUGUGCCAGUGUGCUGGAUGGGAGACGCCACCCAGUGGCCGAACCAAGGAUUGAGCAUGAACAAUCCAUAUUCCAGCCCAACUAUGAAACAGUGCUGCCAUGCUUUUGGCCUCAUCCAGACAGGAGGUUCCUCCACAGGGUGGUUGGACACACUCUCAGUGACCGGGUGAGGAGUUCAGACUUCCGGAGGGACCUUGAAACAUUGCCACUGCUUCUCGAGAUUGAAAAGAGUCAGGUGAGGUGGUUCUGGCAUAUUGCAAGGCUGCUGUUCCAGGCACGUCCCACUGGGCAGAGAACCCAGGGCAGACCCAGGAUGCGCCGGAGGGAUUAUAUUUCCCAGCUGGCCUGGGAACCUCUAGAGAUUCCCCAGAAUGAACUGGAGUCUGUGGCCAUAGAAAGAUGAUGUUGGCAUGCUACUAUAUAGUGACCCUCACCAGGAAACUGAGAAGAAAAAUUAUUAGAAUUAAGUGUUGCAUACAUAUGAUCAAACCAUCUUUUUUGAUCCAGAUCAGCCAUUUGAGGGUUUUGGUUUGAUGACAUGAACACAAUUUUAUCCUAAGAAUCAUGUACAAUUUGUAAUAAGAAUUAUACAAAUGGGCAAUUUACUAAGCAUGCAGAUUUUAACUGCUCAAUUUAAUUUGCAGUACCAUUAUUAUUCAUUGCAUAGGAAUACUUGGGGUAACCAUCUAAUUAUAGUGUAGAACAACAUGGAUUUUGAGGUUUGAGGUACAAUGUGGCGGCAGGGAUGUUGCUUAUCGCUGGUCUGCAGCUUGAAUGUCUUUUUGUUUUUUGCCUGGGAGUCUGGAAGUUAAAGAAGUAUGUGUAGCCAUUGGAAUGAAAAGUCAGAUGACCGUGAAACCGAAGAGGGUCACUCAGAUGCCCUGAAGCGUAGCUGACGGAUGCAGAGAUCAGCUGCUCACUGGACCUUGUGUGUGGAGUGACUCUUGGGAAGAGUCAUGCGGACAAGGUGAAGAGUUCUGAAGCAGAAAUAAUACUAAAUGGAAUGCAUAGGCACACAAAGGCAUAAAGUGAAUGAAUGCCUUAAUGAUGUUAAAUUUGUUCAUAUUUCUUCAAAGGAAAUGAAAAUGUUUUCCUUUUUGCUGUUUUUUAACUUUCUUGUUGGAGAUUUUUUUUUUAUGUUAUUUUUCAGUUCCUGUGCUAUUGAAAUGCACUAUAGAAUUUAUUCAACUGUGUGCAGUCUUCAGAAGACCUAUUGAGAGGGAAGUGCACACUAGGGGGAAAAAAGAAGCGAAAGUACUCAUGUGAAUGUGGACAAACCGUUUGUUGGAAAAUGGUACGUAGCAGGGAGAUGAACUUUGACAAUUUGAAAAAUUUUGAAAGCAAGAGAGGCUAAAAUAAUGGGUGGCUUCAUUUGUGAUGAAAGCACAAUUAUAUAAUACAUCCUUUUUGCAGUGACAGGAAACAGAAUGGGCCAUGAAUUAGACUCUGGAAUGCUGUGUGAAUUACAUGGAUAUUUAAUCAGGAAGACAUUUUUGUUAUGUCGAUUGAUAGGAUUCUUGUUUGUGAAUCUGUGUGUGAAAUUUUGGAUUGAGUUGAAUGAUGACGUAAUAAAAGCCAGAGAAAUGUUA